GAUGAACGCUGGCGGUAUGCUUAACACAUGCAAGUCGAACGCAAACUGUCGGUUCUGAGUGGCGGACGGGUGCAUAACGCCGGAGCAUCUGGCUUCACGGUGUGGACCACCACGGGAAACGGUGGCUAGUACGCAAUGUGCCGCUAAGGUGAAAGAUUAAUUUCCUGAAGAUGUGAUCGCGUCUGAUUAUCUAGUUGGUGGGGUAAGAGCUCACCUAGGCGACGAGCAGGAGCUGGUCUGAGAGGACGAUCAGCCACACGGGGACUGCGACACGGCCCAGACUCCUACGGGAGGCAGCAGGGGGGAAUGGUCCGAAAUGGGCGAAAGCCUGACGGAGCAAUACCGCGUGAGGGAGGAAGGCUCUUGGGGUGUAAACCUCUUUUCUCAGGGAAGAAGGCAAUGACGGUACCUGAGGAAUCAGCAUCGGCUAACUCCGUG
rnacentral:rRNA from 1 species